AGCAUAAUUUCUGGGUCAUAUGGUAAGAGUAUGUUUGCUUUUGAAAGAAAUUGCCAAACUACUUUCCAAAGUGGCUGCACCAUUUUGCCUUCCCACCAACAAU
rnacentral:pre_miRNA from 1 species